GACAGAGGGUGCAAACGUUGUUCGGAAUUACUGGGCGUAAAGCGCGUGUAGGCUGCUCAGAAAGUCGGAUGUGAAAGCCCUCGGCUUAACUGAGGAAGUGCAUCCGAAACUGAAUAGCUAGAGUACGAAAGAGGGUCGCGGAAUUCCCGGUGUAGAGGUGAAAUUCGUAGAUAUCGGGAGGAACACCGGUGGCGAAGGCGGCGACCUGGGUCGAGACUGACGCUGAGGCGCGAAAGCGUGGGGAGCAAACAGG
rnacentral:rRNA from 1 species